ACCCCUACGGGAGGCAGCAGUCGAGAAUCUUCCGCAAUGGACGAAAGUCUGACGGAGCGACGCCGCGUGCGGGAUGAAGGCCUUCGGGUUGUAAACCGCUGUCAGUGGGGUGGAAAUGUAUUGAGGUUAUCCUCUUUACUUGACCUAACCGCAGAGGAAGUCCGGGCUAAGUACGUGCCAGCAGCCGCGGUAA
rnacentral:rRNA from 1 species